rnacentral:lncRNA from 1 species
UCCCCGUUGAAUUUAGCUCUUUGAAGUGAUUCAUUUUCUCUUUUACAUUAAGAAUUGUUAUUGUCGAAAAUAUUGUUAUGAAGAAUGUGAAUAUCCACAUGAACACUUUUGUCAACAUAUCUGUUUUACCCUUGUCUUGCCUCACUUGAACGGUUUCUUCAUUCUUUUCGUUUACCGACCAUAAAAUGAAAUAUAAGAAAAGUGAUACAAUCCCAAUUAUACAAAG